UCCCUCUACAAGGGGAUGCCCCAUUUCAAAGACUGACCGGGGUCGCCGCGCUGAAACGUAAAGCCCACCACCUUGUGUCAAAUAAACCGACGCCAUUGAACUCCAGGAGAGACGCAAAACAGGAAUACAGCACAAGGCACAAACUGGAUGCUACGGUGCUGCACUUUCAAGCCAGCAGCUUUAGUUCCAUGCCAUGUGAACGGACAGUCUCCCGUGGGAAGAAAUAUGUGCCUGAGGGACUGUAGCCAAGGAUCAGAUCAUGCUGCUGUACUGUGAGAAAUAAAAGUUAGAGAGGCUUUCUUCAUGUAAACCAGAUGUCUCUGCUUUCCAUCACAGCUCAGCCUACUGACACCCUGAGUCUCAGCAAAAUGGCAUCAGAGUUGCAACAUUUUGACUCAGUGAGUCAUCACAGACAUCAUUUUCCAGAGACUGCACAGACUGAGAAUCAGACAUAUGUAUGGCUCGUGUGUGUGCCACCCAAGUGUAGAUGCAUUCGGUGCAGUAGUGAAAAACGCCUCAUUUGUCUUUUGAAAACUGAGAUGUUAAGACAAAACCCUUUAGCAGAGCGCAGCUACAUCAGAAUGGUGACUGCUAUUAUUACUCCGAUUACCAUCUCUUACAUUUGAUAGCACAUCUUCUCCACAGUGAAGGGGAAAAAUAGGAGUAAUGGUGAGAGGAAAACGCAAUCUAGGUGUCAGACAAACACUUGAUUAACCACUUACAGGGGCAGCCUCUGCAUCAGGGCAAGGCCAUGCCAUCUCACAUUUCCACUCAGCCUGAUCCUUCAAACAUUACUGGCCACAAGGUAUUGAUUUUUCAUUCUUCUGAAUAUCUCCUUGCCGUUAAUAGAAUUUACACCAGACUGUCAAUGCUUCAAGGAGGCCUCCCCUCCCCUUACAGUACUGCCGGGAUCGUCUCCCCCUUCGAAGAGGGCACAGUCGAAGCUUGCCCUCCAUUAGCGCCAGUUGUGAGAUUCUACCUGAGAGAGAAGACAUGGAAACUGACAAAACGGGCCUAAAUGAAAUUUGUGUUGAAAGCAAUUUGGAGAUAAACCAAGAGCAGCGGAGGUGAGUCUGAGGCUGUUUCACUUCUUUUAUUUUUUUUUUGUUUUGCUCCCCAGAAAUUUCAAAAUGAUUGACAACAUGUUGAGUACAGG